GUCAGAGUGGAGGACUUCAUCUGUUCUAGCUGUUCUUAAAGUCAGUGCUUCUUUUUAACAACUAUCAUGAUGUUACACUGUUUAUUACUUCUGUUUUCAGCAAUGGUGGAUGACAGUUUUCAGGAUGAAAUAAAAGCAGCUAAAGAAGUGCAUGUUCUGGAGAGAAACAGUGUUUCACUGUCAUGCACUUACACAGUUUCUGUAAACUAUGUGUACUGGUAUCGCCAAUACCCUCAAUCUGAACCUGAAUUCCUCAUCUCUGUUGUGAGCACAGACAAGACAGAAGGACAGUUUACUGCUAAACACGAUAAAAAUAGCAAAACAGUGCGUCUGGAGAUCUCUUCUGUUGAAGUGAAAGACUCUGCACAGUACUACUGUGCCCUGCAGCCCACAGUGACAGGAAACCCAUCAUCUCCGUACAAAAACCUCACACUGCCUGAGACAAGGCAGCAACACAAGUACAAUUUUGAGACUUCAUCAUUGGGAGGGGCUAAACAGUCAGCGAUUGGGAGAAGGCUAUGCAGAGGUUUCAGAGAGGAGGACUUAUUUUGUUCAAGCUGUGCUUAAAGUGAGUGUUUAUUUCUAACAGCUGUCAUGAUGUUUCACUGUUUAUUGCUUCUA